AAGUCUAACACAAAUCAUAAUCGUAACUGCUUACGUGGCAUGUUAUACAUGAAUCACGAGACUGGUAGUUGAAUAAAGGCGCGCACAAAACAUGCGCUUCAAUAAAAAAAAAAAAAAAAGAAGCUGACGUGGUCAAUGGACAAUCUGACACAUUCUCUCCACCCCUUCACUCCCUAACUUUUCCUCAUAUUCACGAUAUUGCCACUCUUCUCCCAAACCGUAUGGUCGUGAGGUGGACAAGACUUGUUCUCACCGUACUCCGUGUCUCAUCUGAUUAUUGUCUCAAUAAAAUUGCAACUUUCUCCAGAAAAUUUCACACACUUUCUCGAGAAAUUAAACUAUUCAGGUUCUUCUUUCUAGCCCCCUUGAUCUUUCCACAGAUGCCCAAGCAAAAAGCUCAAAAGAAGCAACUCAAAUCCUACAAACUCAAACACAUCAACAGAACCAUUCAAGAGGGAGAUGCGGUGUUGAUGCGGUCAUCGGAGCCUGGGAAACCGUCGUACGUGGCGAGGGUGGAGGCGAUCGAGGCGACGGACGCGCGUGGAUCGAACGCGAGGGUUCGCGUGAGGUGGUACUACCGCCCCGAGGAGUCCAUGGGAGGGAGGAGGCAGUUCCACGGAGCUAAGGAGGUGUUUCUUUCGGAUCACUUUGACUUGCAGAGCGCUGAUACGAUCGAAGGCAAGUGUAAGGUUCACAGUUUCAGUAGCUACACGAAACUCAGCUCCGUGGGAAACGACGACUUCUUCUGUCGUUUUGAGUAUAAUUCUGCAACUGGGGCUUUUAUUCCCGACAGAGUCGCCGUAUUCUGCAAGUGUGAGAUGCCGUACAACCCUGAUGACUUGAUGGUUCAGUGCGAGGAGUGUUCUGAGUGGAACAACAAUAGAGGCAGCUAAAAAGCUCGAUCACUUCUACUGUGAAGAGUGUUCCCCGGAACAGCAGGAUUUGGAUAACUCUAAUUCGACUUCCAAAACCACAGAUGCUAAGGUGAAUACAAAGCGCAGCCUGGAGGUAAGCAAGACGAGGAACAAACACGCCAAGCGAUCAGGUUAACAUAAAAACCUCUGAGAGCUAUAUCAGUCCAUCGGACUGAGUUCAGUAUCAUCAUGAUGUAAUCUGUGAAAGAGUUUGUUUUCUUUACUCUACUUUUUUUCUUUCUUUCUUAAGGAUGUGAGGUUUAGGUUGGUUGGCUUGAUUAGUGACUUGUGUUGUGGCACAAUCUUAUGUAUAGUAUACUAUAUGUUUUCAUUUCAUCUGCUUUAAGCUGUGACAUAAUGAAAGCUGAGUGAAAGGUAUGUCUAUAAAAAGAAACAGAGAGAGGGGUCACUUGUUUGUGCUCGAUUGU